rnacentral:lncRNA from 10 species
GGAAGCAGGUACAUCUUUACAUGGCCAGCAGGAGAGAGAAUGAAAGGGUCAUACUUUUCUGUGUCUUUGGACGUCCAGUGACUUUUGGGCAGGACGUUGUUGAUGACGGCAGCCCUGCAUCUACUGUCACCCUCUAAACAGCACUGACUUUUGUUCUGGGAUGAAUUCUGCCCUCCCAAAAUUCCUGCGUUGAAGCCCCAGAUCCCAUGGUCACUGUUUCAGGAGAUGGGACUCUUAGGAGACAAUCGAGAUUAAGUGAGGUCAAAGGGAGUGGCCCUAAUUUAACAGGCUGAUGUCCUUAUUAGGAGAAAAAGAGGCACCCAGAGAGCGCUCCCUGCCAGGUGAGGACACAGCGAGGGGCUGCCUUCUGCGAAUGGGCAGGAAGCCCUCACCAGAAACUGCACUUUCCGGCACCUUAAUCUUGGACUUCCACCCUCCAGAACGGUGAGGAAAUACAGUUCUGUUGUUUAAGGUGCCCAGUCUGGGGUAUUUUGUCACGGGAGCCUGAGCUGACAGCGAGAGUGACAGCCCCUCCAGCAGGAAAUCCAAGUCCAGGCGAAGCUCCUUGAACCCGUGGGCUUCGGCCAGGCACAGCUGCGCAAAGUCACGGCUGUUUCCCAGGAGCCCCUAACUUGUCAGAAUGCAGCCUCUACAUGUCCCUCCUGUGGGUCUCGGGGGCACAGUUCUGGAUUUGAGGCGCAUCUAGGGUGCAGCCCUUGUUCCUAGCAGGGCCUUUCCAGUGUCCCGGCCGUGCUGGGGGCUGGCGAGGUCCCCCUACUCGGGCUGUUCCCCCAGAGCUCCCGGCACCACUCGACCUCAGGUUACUCCCGCUCAAGGUGAGGAACAAGCCCUCCACCCGCUUCGGGGCCGUCAGCAC